AGUGAACGCUGGCGGUAGGCCUAACGCAUGCAAGUCGAACGGCAGCACAGUAAGAGCUUGCUCUUACGGGUGGCGAGUGGCGGACGGGUGAGGAAUACAUCGGAAUCUACUUUUUCGUGGGGGAUAACGUAGGGAAACUUACGCUAAUACCGCAUACGACCUACGGGUGAAAGCAGGGGAUCUUCGGACCUUGCGCGAUUGAAUGAGCCGAUGUCGGAUUAGCUAGUUGGCGGGGUAAAGGCCUACCAAGGCGACGAUCCGUAGCUGGUCUGAGAGGAUGAUCAGCCACACUGGAACUGAGACACGGUCCAGACUCCUACGGGAGGCAGCAGUGGGGAAUAUUGGACAAUGGGCGCAAGCCUGAUCCAGCCAUACCGCGUGGGUGAAGAAGGCCUUCGGGUUGUAAAGCCCUUUUGUUGGGAAAGAAAAGCAGCAGGUUAAUACCCCGCUGUUCUGACGGUACCCAAAGAAUAAGCACCGGCUAACUUCGUG
rnacentral:rRNA from 1 species